GACGAAGGGCGUGGGUGUUAUUCGUUUUGAUUGGGUGUAAAGGGUAUGUAGGCGGUUUCUGGAUUUUUGGCCAAAAGAGCAGAGUGUUCCUGUGCGAUAGGCCUUCUAAAAAAGAUUCUUGUGUUGCGGAGAGGUCGGAGCAAAUUCUUAUGUAAAAGUAAAAUUUUCGGAUAUGAGAAUGAACGUCGAUAGGCGAAGGCAUCUUUCCAGCCGCAACAGACGCUAAGGUACGGAAGCCUGGGGAGCAAACGGG
rnacentral:rRNA from 1 species